UCCAGACUCCUACGGGAGGCAGCAGUGGGGAAUAUUGCACAAUGGGGGAAACCCUGAUGCAGCGACGCCGCGUGAGUGAAGAAGUAUUUCGGUAUGUAAAGCUCUAUCAGCAGGGAAGAUAAUGACGGUACCUGACUAAGAAGCCCCGGCUAACUACGUGCCAGCAGCCGCGGUAAUACGUAGGGGGCAAGCGUUAUCCGGAUUUACUGGGUGUAAAGGGUGCGUAGGUGGCAUGGCAAGUCAGAAGUGAAAGCCCGGGGCUCAACCCCGCGGACUGCUUUUGAAACUGUCAGGCUGGAGUACAGGAGAGGUAAGCGGAAUUCCUAGUGUAGCGGUGAAAUGCAUAGAUAUCGCGCAGAACUCCGAUUGCGAAGGCAGCAUACCGGCGCCCAACUGACGCUGAAGCACGAAAGCGUGGGUAUCGAACAGGAUUAGAUACCCCGGUA
rnacentral:rRNA from 1 species